rnacentral:rRNA from 1 species
AUUGAACGCUGGCGGCAGGCCUAACACAUGCAAGUCGAACGGUAACAGGGAUCAGCUUGCUGAUUCGCUGACGAGUGGCGGACGGGUGAGUAAUGUCUGGGAAACUGCCUGAUGGAGGGGGAUAACUACUGGAAACGGUAGCUAAUACCGCAUAACGUCGCAAGACCAAAGAGGGGGACCUUCGGGCCUCUUGCCAUCGGAUGUGCCCAGAUGGGAUUAGCUAGUAGGUGGGGUAACGGCUCACCUAGGCGACGAUCCCUAGCUGGUCUGAGAGGAUGACCAGCCACACUGGAACUGAGACACGGUCCAGACUCCUACGGGAGGCAGCAGUGGGGAGUAUUGCACAAUGGGCGCAAGCCUGAUGCAGCCAUGCCGCGUGUAUGAAGAAGGCCUUCGGGUUGUAAAGUACUUUCAGCGGGGAGGAAGGGAGUAAAGUUAAUACCUUUGCUCAUUGACGUUACCCGCAGAAGAAGCACCGGCUAACUCCGUG